UACGUAGGGGCUAGCGUUAUCCGGAAUUACUGGGCGUAAAGGGUGCGUAGGUGGUUUCUUAAGUCAGAGGUGAAAGGCUACGGCUCAACCGUAGUAAGCCUUUGAAACCGGGAAACUUGAGUGCAGGAGAGGAGAGUGGAAUUCCUAGUGUAGCGGUGAAAUGCGUAGAUAUUAGGAGGAACACCAGUUGCGAAGGCGGCUCUCUGGACUGUAACUGACACUGAGGAACGAAAGCGUGGGGAGCAAACAGGAUUAGAUACCCUGGUAGUCCCUGAGCGGGCU
rnacentral:rRNA from 1 species